rnacentral:rRNA from 1 species
UACAGAGGUCCCAAGCGUUGUUCGGAUUCAUUGGGCGUAAAGGGUGCGUAGGCGGCGCGGUAAGUCGGGUGUGAAAUCUCGGGGCUUAACUCCGAAACUGCAUUCGAUACUGCCGUGCUUGAGGACUGGAGAGGAGACUGGAAUUUACGGUGUAGCGGUGAAAUGCGUAGAUAUCGUAAGGAAGACCAGUGGCGAAGGCGGGUCUCUGGACAGUUCCUGACGCUGAGGCACGAAGGUCAGGGGAGCAAACAGG